rnacentral:rRNA from 1 species
UUUAUCUGGUAAAGCGAAUGACUAGAGGCCUUGGGGCCGAAACGAUCUCAACCUAUUCUCAAACUUUAAAUGGGUAAGAAGCCCGGCUCGCUGGCUUGGAGCCGGGCGUGGAAUGCGAGCCGCCUAGUGGGCCACUUUUGGUAAGCAGAACUGGCGCUGCGGGAUGAACCGAACGCCGGGUUAAGGCGCCCGAUGCCGACGCUCAUCAGACCCCAGAAAAGGUGUUGGUCGAUAUAGACAGCAGGACGGUGGCCAUG